rnacentral:rRNA from 1 species
CCUACGGGGGACAGCAGUGGGGAAUAUUGCACAAUGGGCGAAAGCCUGAUGCAGCAACGCCGCGUGAGCGAUGAAUGCCUUCUGGUCGUAAAGCUCUGUCCUCAAGGAAGAUAAUGACGGUACUUUCCGAGUAUGCCCCGGCCAACUACGUGCCAGCAGCCGCGGUAAUACGGAGGGGGCUAGCGUUAUCCGGAUUUACUGGGCGUAAAGGGUGCGUAGGUGGUUUCUUAAGUCAGAGGUGAAAGGGUACGGCUCAACCGGAGUAAGCCGUUGAAACUGGGGAACUUGAGUGCAGGAGAGGAGAGUGGAAUGCGUGGUGUAGCGGUGAAAUGCGUAGAUAUUAGGAAGAACCCCAGUUGCGAAGGCGGCACACUGGAGUGUAACUGACGCUGAGGCACGAAAGCGUGGGGAGCAAACAGGAUUAGAUACCCGUGUAGUC